UAGGGAAUAUUGGUCAAUGGGGGCAACCCUGAACCAGCCAUGCCGCGUGCAGGAAGACUGCCCUAUGGGUUGUAAACUGCUUUUGUACGGGAAGAAAUCAAUCUACGUGUAGGUUGUUGACGGUACCGUGAGAAUAAGGAUCGGCUAACUUCGUGCCAGCAGCCGCGGUAAUACGAAGGAUCCAAGCGUUGUCCGGAUUUACUGGGUUUAAAGGGUGCGUAGGCGGUUUUAUAAGUCAGUGGUGAAAGCCUUCAGCUUAACUGAAGAAUUGCCAUUGAAACUGUGAGACUCGAGUAUGGUUGAGGUUACUGGAAUGUUGCAUGUAGCGGUGAAAUGCUUAGAUAUGCAACAGAACACCGAUUGCGAAGGCAGGUAACUAAGCCAUAACUGACGCUGAGGC
rnacentral:rRNA from 1 species